rnacentral:rRNA from 1 species
GACGAACGCUGGCGGCGUGCCUAAUACAUGCAAGUAGAACGCUGAAGGAGGAGCUUGCUCUUCUGGAUGAGUUGCGAACGGGUGAGUAACGCGUGGGUAACCUGCCUGGUAGCGGGGGAUAACUAUUGGAAACGAUAGCUAAUACCGCAUAACAGUAGAUGUUGCAUGACAUUUGCUUAAAAGGUGCAAUUGCAUCACUACCAGAUGGACCUGCGUUGUAUUAGCUAGUUGGUGGGGUAACGGCUCACCAAGGCGACGAUACAUAGCCGACCUGAGAGGGUGAUCGGCCACACUGGGACUGAGACACGGCCCAGACUCCUACGGGAGGCAGCAGUAGGGAAUCUUCGGCAAUGGACGGAAGUCUGACCGAGCAACGCCGCGUGAGGGAAGAAGGUUUUCGGAUCGUAAAGCUCUGUUGUAAGAGAAGAACGAGUGUGAGAGUGGAAAGUUCACACUGUGACGGUAUCUUACCAGAAAGGGACGGCUAACUACGUG